rnacentral:snoRNA from 1 species
CCACCUGAGUCUUUCCUGUCCUGGCAGUGCAGUACAGGUCUGGGGACAGCUGGUGCUACAGCACAGCAGCGGAAAUCCAGAUGGGCUGUUUUCCAGUGGUUUAGAGCUCAUCUCUACACCUCUGCGACACUG